UGGGAGAGCCCCUGCAGGCCUGCCCGGCCCUAUCGAAGCUGCGUCUGUCUCGGUGGUGUGGCAGAUGCAGUCAAAAAGGAGCCGAGAGAGAGCGGUUUUCCUCGACGGUCGCCGCGCAGUUUGAGUCUCCGUAACUGUCCGGCAACAUUUCGGGAAAAUACAUGUCCCGGGGAGGCCUGGGGGGCUGCCGAGCUGAGGGCGAGGGUCUGGGCACCCCUGGGCCCUGGCUGUGGGCCCAGGUGGUGUCGGGGUGCUGUCACUAGAAGAAAGCAGCUACCCCGACAGCCUGUGUCUGGGGUCUUAACUGGUGCACGGCGAGGUGGGAGGUGGUGGGCAUCGCAGCUUCCCUGCUGUUUUAGCAUAACAUACCUUUUCUGUCUUAGGAACCUACCUGAAGCCCACGACUGUAACCCUUCCCCAGUAGCAUCCUGGCGUGGAAGGUGAUCCCAGUGCGAUGCCUGGUGACGGCAGUGUUGGGCAGUGUGUUCCAGGGUUGCUUGAUGUGUUGGAACCCUCAGCCGAUGGCCUGCCUGCCAGAUAAACCCGAGGAAUGACUUGCUUAGCAGAAAAGGCCGAGCGCUUCAUGAGCCCCCGUCCCCGGUGAAGGGAUUCGGUUUGCUUUCCUUGGGGCCUGAAUCGUGGGGAAGCUGCAACGUGGAGCACGUCCAAGUAGAGCGGGGAGCUGAGGUGAGCCAGUCCCUGAGGGUUCCGGUGCUGCAAGUGCAAGACUUCGGCCUUUCCCAGCCCUGUCCUCCAAAGCGGGAGCUCUGCCUAACCAGAUCCCAGCUCCUUCCUGAGCCAUGAGCUCCCUCAGGUGGGAGCAGCCGCCCCUGCGCUCCGCUCGCCCCCACCAUGGUGGGGGGGAACUUGUUUGGCUCUGGGUGCUGCUCAAGCUCCCAUUUAAACACUUGGCAUGGAAGAACAGCCCCUUCCGUGGAGUUUCCUCAGAAGAGCUUGAGGGAGGGUCUGGAUAUAAAAUAUUUUGAGGGUGAAUAAACGCAAUCACUUGAAA